GUCAGCAUGGCCCUUACGCCCUGGGCUACACACACGCUACAAUGGCCGGCACAACGGGCUGCUAAAGCGCGAGCUGGAGCUAAUCCCCCAAAGUCGGCCCCAGUUCAGAUUGCAGGCUGCAAUUUGCCUGCAUGAAGGCGGAGUCGCUAGUAACCGCAGGUCAGCAAUACUGCGGUGAAUACGUUCCCGGGCCUUGUACACACCGCCCGUCACGUCAUGGAAGCCGGCAGCACCUGAAGCCGCUGAGCCAACGCGCAAGCGAGGCAGGCGCCUAGGGUGAGGCGGGUAACUGUGACGAAGUCGUAACAAGGUAGCCGUACGGGAACGUGCGGCUGGAUCACCUCCUUUCUAGGGAG
rnacentral:rRNA from 2 species